rnacentral:misc_RNA from 1 species
UAACUGCGUGCAGACGUGUGAACUGCAGGACACAUGAACACCGACGUUUCGAACGCAAAUGGCGGUCUAAAGUAAAUUUUAGACCACGGCUGGCUGAGGGUCGGAUUUGAACUAAAAACCAACGUUACUCAAACUAGGGCUUUAAAAAAGUGAAAGUGAGCCUGUUUGAUGUAUUGUUAUGUACAAGUUUCAUCGCUGGGUCAUAUGGCCUGGUUAGAUCAUUGGCACGUUUUUUACCAACAAGCUGACCUGAAAUGUAGAAACAUAUACAAGAGUUGGCAUAAUGUGGUAACGUGCUUUAAAAUAAAGUUUUAAAUCAAACAUACGACCUCAGAGCAGGCGAGAUUACCCGCUAAAUUUAA